AUGAAUUUCACGUCUCCUCCUCGAUGCCGGCUGCACGAAGACAUCCUCCGCCGUCCGUUUCGCCGUCCGUUCGCCGUCUUCGAAACAUCCUCCACCGUCCAACUACGAUUCCGAUUGAAGCCCAAGAGCGUUGGUUCUGGAACUAAGAAAUCGAAGAGAGCUGCGAAGAAUCCUAACAAGCCUAAGAGGCCUCCAAGUGCUUUCUUCAUUUUCAUGAUUCGGGAAAAAGGAGACGGUGCUUAUAUCCAUACUCGCAAACCGAAAUGCAACCCAAAGGAAACUUCUGAGGCUAGCUUAUCAAGAAGUCUAUCAUCAAGAUCUUAUUGA